GUUUGUUAUUUGCAUUUUUAUUUGAGGGAGAAACUUUUCCUUCUUGUUUCAAUGUAAUAAACCAUAUUUAAUCAUUUGUACUUUGCUUGAAGUUUUCUCUUAUGCCAAAGAAGACAAAUACCUCCAAAGUUUGAACGCUUCUACCAAGGUUAUUGCUGCCACCCUGGGGCGUGCACAUAAUCAUGACAUAACUGGACCCAGUCCUUCUGGCCUAACUAUAUAGAGGUUUGAGAAAUUGGCGAUAAACUGUCGACAUGAUUACGAUUCUUUACAAAGUUCUUUCAAACAUGGUAAUCCUCCUCCACGUUAUCAUUAUGAAAACAGAACAUUUCAUAACGUCAGGAUCAACCUCAAACUGGCUUCACGGAAACCAUCAAACACAACAUUAAUCUUGAAUUUGAUCAAAAGUUUAAGAUAUCUAUCGACAGAAAAAACCGAUCGUUGGCGAGAAUAUUUCGACGACAAAGUGUGAAAUUUGAAAUAAAAUACAACAGAGGAUUUCUGAAAGGUGACAAGACGCUGGCUCAAGCUUCUCUUAAGUUAUCACCGUUUGAUAAAAGAUGUGAAAUUCACGAAUGUCUUAAUGUAAGUAAUGUGUGGUAUUUUUUUGAACUUUAUAAAUUAAUAAUUGCAGAAACUGUGUUUAAAUCAUUGAACUAUAUAUAACUGGACGGCCACCCACCCGCUAAAAUUUGAAGACAACAUUUCGCUUAUGCAUCCCAAGAAAGUUCGCAAGGUGAUUGGUGGAAAGAUUGAAGUCAAAUUACGUAUUCGUGAACCUCUGACAGAUAAAGAUGUUGAAAUCUUGACGAAAAAUUGUUGGUCAUAGAUGCAUUUGUAGCACCAACAAAUAGACCAAUCAGUGCUUCGUCAACAAGUAAGCUUAAAAAUCCAGAAAAUGGCAGAAAAGCAAAGAAUUCAAACCAAAUGUGAAUCAUCGUUCGUUGUAUUAAAAGGAAUUUAUUGUCGCCUCGAUUAUAAAUGAAUUCACAGACAAUUUCAUUUAAAGUUGACAUUUACUAUAUUGAAAAAGUUGUAAAUAUCAUGCUUAAAUGUAUAAAUACACUUUCAGUGUUUAAA